UGUGCUUCUCAAAAAAUUUGAAUGUAAUGGAAAAGUUCUUUAUUUUUUUGCUUUAAUUCAGAUGGUUAUUACUUACACAGGAAAAUUAAACAUUUAAUAAAAUAUAUAUUUUUUUUACAAAACAGAAAUUUUCAAGAUCUCCGAAGCAUUAUGCACUCAAUACUUGGUUGGGGCUCUUUUUGCACGAAUUACUGCUUCAAUGCAGCAUGGCAUGGAGAUGUUACUCAUCUUCCUCUUCACAAUACUUCAUUUAUUCUCUGUGAGGUUCAGUUCAAGUGAGUCGUCUGGCUAAUCAAGCAAAAUUAAAAUCAGCAUCUCCAUAAAGCUUGUCAGCAGAUGUAAGCAUAAAGUGCUCCAAAAUCUCCUGGUAGAUUGACUUUGGACUUGAUAAAACACAAUGGACCAACACCAGCAGACGUCAUGGCACCUAGAUCAUUCAGAAACUUCACACUGGACUUCAAGCAGCUUGGAUUCUGUGCCUCUCCAUUCUUCCUCCAGACUCCAGACCUUAAUUUCCAAAUGAAAUGCUAAACUUACUUUAAAGGUGUUUUUCUCAAUAUUUACAUUUUUUUACACCCUCAGAUUCCAGAUUUUCAAAUAACUGUAUUUCGGCCAAAUCACAUCAAUGGAAAGCUUAUUUAUUCAGCUUUCAGAUGAUUAAUCUAAAACUGCUGGAAAUGGGAUAAUUAUGCAGAACAUGUUGGCAAAUCAAAAAGAAAAGUGCAGGAGCUGGACGAUUUUUCUGAAGAACAGCAGUCAGUUUAACUGUUAAGGACAAAUAAGGGACUCUUGAACAACUAUGACAAAACAUAAAAACAGUCAUAGAUCAUCCAGGAAAUGACACACAGCAUUAAUGUUCAAGGGUAUGUAAACAUUUGAACGGUGGAGUAUAUUUAAACAUCUGUUACUGUAUGUGAAAUAGCUUAUUCAAGACCGUACCAAAAAUAAAAAAAUAACAUGCAA